ensembl:lncRNA
GUCGGAGGUCGAUGAUCAACUUUGUAGUCGUUUCUUCUGACCUUCGGCCAUAUGUCUUGGACACUCGGGUGAAGAGAGGGGCUGAGCUGUCAACUGAUCACCACCUGGUGGUGAGCUGGAUUCGAUGGCGGGGGAAAGAGCUGGACAGACCUGGCAGGCCCAAACGCAUAGUGAGGGUCUGUUGGGAACGUUUGGCGGAGGCCCCUGUCAGAGAGGUCUUCAACUCCCACCUCCGACAGAGCUUCAACCGGGUCCCGAGGGAGGUGGGGGACAUCGAGUCUGAAUGGACUAUGUUCCGCGCCUCCAUUGUUGGGGCGGCGGUUCGGAGCUGCGGCCAUAAGGUCUCCGGCGCCUGUCGCGGCGGCAAUCCCCGAACACGGUGGUGGACACCAGAAGUAAGGGAUGCCGUCAAGCUGAAGAAGGAGUUCUAUCGGGCCUGGCUGGCUCAUGGGACUCCUGAAGCAGCUGACAGGUACCGACGGGCCAAACGGAGCGCGGCUCUGGCAGUCGCCGCGGCAAAAACUCGGGCUUGGGAGGAGUUCGGUGAGGCCAUGGAGGAAGACUUUCGGUCGGCCUCAAAGAGAUUCUGGCAAACCGUCCGGCGACUCAGAGGGGGGAAGCAGUGUUCCGCCAACACUGUUUACAGUGGAAGUGGUGCGCUGCUGACCUCAGCUGAGGAUGUCCUUGGGCGGUGGAAGGAGUACUUUGAGGAUCUCCUUAAUCCCUCCGACACGCCUUCCGUAGAGGAAGCUGAGGCUGGGGACUUGGAGGGGGACUCGUCCAUUACCCUGGCUGAAGUUGCUGAGGUGGUCAAAAAACUCCUCGGUGGCAAGGCUCCGGGGGUGGAUGAGAUCCGCCCCGAGUUUCUCAAGUCUCUGGAUGUUGUGGGGCUGUCUUGGCUGACACGCCUCUGCAGCAUCGCGUGGAGUUCGGGGACGGUGCCUUUGGACUGGCAGACCGGGGUGGUGGUCCCUCUUUUUAAGAAGGGGGACCGGAGAUUGUGUUCCAACUACAGGGGGAUCACACUCCUUAGCCUCCCUGGGAAAGUCUAUGCCAGGGUACUGGAAAGGAGAAUCCGCCCGAUAGUCGAACCUCGGAUUCAG